AGAGUUUGAUCCUGGCUCAGGAUGAACGUUGGCGGCGUGCCUAAUACAUGCAAGUCGAACGGAGAUUGUAGCAAUACGGUCUCAGUGGCGAACGGGUGAGUAACGCGUUGGUGACCUGCCCCGAAGUGUGGAAUAACAGAUCGAAAGAGCUGCUAAUACCGCAUAAUAUCCAGGAGAUUAGAUGCUUCUGGAUUAAAGGAUUUAUCCGCUUCGGGAGGGGCCUGCGUCCCAUCAGCUAGUUGGUAAGGUAAAGGCUUACCAAGGCGAUGACGGGUAGGGGACCUGAGAGGGUGGCCCCCCACAAUGGAACUGAAACACGGUCCAUACACCUACGGGAGGCAGCAGUGGGGAAUAUUGCACAAUGGACGAAAGUCUGAUGCAGCAACGCCGCGUGGAGGAUGACACAUUUCGGUGCGUAAACUCCUUUUAUAUGGGAAGAUAAUGACGGUACCAUAUGAAAAAGCACCGGCUAACUCCGUGCCAGCAGCCGCGGUAAUACGGAGGGUGCAAGCGUUACUCGGAAUCACUGGGCGUAAAGAGCGUGUAGGCGGAUAUAUAAGUCAGAAGUGAAAUCCAAUAGCUUAACUAUUGAACUGCUUUUGAAACUGUAUAUCUAGAAUGUGGGAGAGGUAGAUGGAAUUUCUGGUGUAGGGGUAAAAUCCGUAGAGAUCAGAAGGAAUACCGAUUGCGAAGGCGAUCUACUGGAACAUUAUUGACGCUGAGACGCGAAAGCGUGGGGAGCAAACAGGAUUAGAUACCCUGGUAGUCCACGCCCUAAACGAUGCACACCUAGUUGUUGUGAGGCUAGACCUUGCAGUAAUGCAGUUAACACAUUAAGUGUGCCGCCUGGGGAGUACGGUCGCAAGAUUAAAACUCAAAGGAAUAGACGGGGACCCGCACAAGCGGUGGAGCAUGUGGUUUAAUUCGACGAUACACGAAGAACCUUACCUGGACUUGACAUAGUAAGAACUUUCUAGAGAUAGAUUGGUGUCUGCUUGCAGAAACUUAUAUACAGGUGCUGCACGGCUGUCGUCAGCUCGUGUCGUGAGAUGUUGGGCUAAGUCCCGCAACGAGCGCAACCCUCGUCAUUAGUUGCUAACAGUUCGGCUGAGAACUCUAAUGAGACUGCCUACGCAAGUAGGAGGAAGGUGAGGACGACGUCAAGCCAUCAUGGCCCUUACGUCCAGGGCUACACACGUGCUACAAUGGGGUAUACAAAGAGCCGCAAUACAGUGAUGUGGAGCAAAUCUCAAAAAUAUCUCCCAGUUCGGAAAAUAGUCUGCAACUCGACUACAUGAAGUUGGAAUCGCUAGUAAUCGUAGAUCAGCUAUGCUACGGUGAAUACAAAACCGGGUCUUGCACUCACCGCCCGUCA
rnacentral:rRNA from 1 species